UUUUACAUAGAAUAAAUGAUAAAAAUUUAUUGAUAGAAAGAGAUCAGCAUGGGGCUCAUGGAAGAGCAACUGAACCUCUGGCACCUGUGCAGGUCAGAGAGGGAACUGGAGAAGGAAGAUUGGGUGUAAGCAUAAGGCAAGAAGCAUCCCAUAUUUGCCAAAGUUGCUAAGUCUGCCUCCUGGGGUGGUAGGAAGCUAUUAUACAAGCUGGCAGCCCUUGACCCUGACACCUACUCUUGCAGGUGGGAGGUGUAAUGCACAAUUCUGAUAAAACAUGAAGACUCUGGCAAUAUUACUAAAACUUGUGUGAUAUGAAUGGGUUUGAGGCAGUAAUUCCAAAUUGAAUUUAUCUGAAGGAGAUAGUCAAGAAUGUGGACAAAGAUUUAGCUGCAUAGAUGUUCAUUACAGCAUUGUUUACAAUAGAAAAAGGAAAAGAAAGAACAAACCUAAAACUCUUUCAGCGGGGGAGGGUCAUGCAUCUUGCCCAAGUCGCACAGUCAAAAAGCAGGAGGGCCAGGCGGCCUGCUCCAAACCCAGGCCCCUCACCCGCCAGCUGUGCUCAGCUGGAAGGGAAAAUGGUGGAAAGGAGUAUGGUUUCCAGUUGGGAGUGCUGAGGAAAUAAUGCUCUUGAGUAUGGACUGUUACUUGAAGCUUGUAUAUUAGGAAUGUAUUUAUAUUAGUCAGAAAAUACAUUUAAAUGAUAGUUAACUUCCAUAAUGCCCAAGAUGGUGGCAAAGAGGGUAUUAGUUAAAAAUGUUCUGAGGAUAAAGUUAAAGUUGGGGGUUAAAUUGGGCAACAGUAAGUCAUGUGUAGCAUCAAAUGCCAUUUGUCAAGGCAGGAGGUUCAGGGUCAGAGCAGGUGUGUGGGAUGCCCAAGUCCAGUCCAAGAAAGCUGCCCUGUUACUCUGGAAAAGUCUGUACCCAGCCUGGCCACUGCUCAGAAGCCAAAGCUGGGCCACUGCUGGGUGCUGGGCCCCUAAAAAAUAGCACCAAAACCAACCAGGAUUCUGAGAACACUGCCCUUUCCCCAUACAUCCAAAACAAUAUAGAAUCCAAUAUGAAAUAUGGGUGCCAAUUGAGGGACACUGAGAAAGGGUGAGGACAGGGCCACGUGACGUUGUCGCCGAUUACAUGACUCCCUGAAAACAACAUUUAAUUUUCCCCACUUGGAAAUGGUAUUUCUCUUUCUGCUUGGGAAUGGGGACUGUGGGCACUGGUGAGAAACCUCUGUGGGGAUGAAUGGAAUCACUUCUAUCUAUAUGAAUCAAACAAAAAUGGCAAACCAUCAGACAAGCAGAAGCUGCAGGCAGAACCGCACACACACACACAUACACAUGCACACACAUACACAUGCACACAUACACACAUACACACGCACACAUACACACAUACACACACGCACACGCACACAUGCACACACACGCACGGAACAAGUUAUCUCUCAGAUCAGUGCUGCCUAAGCGAUACUGAGUCACAAACACAAUCUACAAGUGUACACUUUAAAUUUUCUAGUAGCUGCAUUUUUAAAAUUAAAAAAUGUGAAAUUAAUUUCAAUAUUAAUAUUUUAUUUCACUCAGCAUAUCCAAAAUAUUAUCACUCAAUGUGUAAUUGAUAUAAAAAUAUUGAGAUAUUUUAUAUUCUUUUUUUGGUAUUAAACGUGUUUUGGGAACCACAUCUCAAGAGUUCCAUAGCCACACGUGGCUGGUGGCUGCAUCACUUGCCAGUGCAGUUCUAGAUCGAUGGUUCUGAACAUUUCUCCACCCUGAUUCACUCCUUCUAGAAGCAGUGGCUCACUUAUUUGGGGUUAGGGGGUGAUGAUUGCAAAAAACUUCCAGAAGACAUUCUGACAAACCUUCCUGAGAGAAUCACUUCCUCCCCAAAUCCCUUGAGAGUUACUGUUUUUAUGUCUCUUGUUCUGUUUCCUGUGGGUGAUAAUUAACAGAGGCUUCCUGGAGGGGGAGGGAAGUUGCCAUGCAUCUGGGCUCCUCUGGGGCCCAGUUCCAGACAGGCAAGACCCACGUGCAGCUAGAAAUGGGACGUGGAAGGGCGUUUCCAGGGGUAGCCACAAGGCCUCCAAGUUCAACUUGAGAGCCUGGGGUUACAGACAGCAGUGGCCCACAGGACACGCUCCCUUUGUUCUACCUCUGGGAGCUACAAAGGCAAGCUGGUCUCCUGGGAGGAGGUGAAAGGUCUGAGGAUGCUUUCUCUCUCCUCUUGGUUAACUGUACACAAUGAGAAAUUAUUCCCCAAGGAAGCCAGAGAGAAGCGAUUGUGGGGAAGCAGAAGGGACUCGAAACCCAUGCCCCAAAGCUGGCCAGCUGUGAGCAAAGGGAAGGCAAUGAACUUGGCUCCAUUACAACCUUCAGACAAGGUGAGACUCAGCCAUUGGUGAGUGUGACGGGGCCUUUGAGGAGGCAGCUUUGUUCCCUUCCUCUCCAGGGACCAGGAGUGGAGGUCCCAGAGCCCAGUCAGCUCAGGGAACUCCAGUGCAGUCUCCGAGGGGAAAAGAACGGCCACAUGCAGACAGUGCAGGACCCACACUGACCUGCGCUCUCUUCCUGGAGGGGUGACUAAGGAUGUAAGAAAGAAAAAAUGCACGCUAUAAACAAAACUAAAAGGCAGACAAUAGUCCUGCAGUAUCCUCAAUGACCCUGCCACUAAAAACAACUCAAAAUGCUGAACAAAAUAUAUUUUUAAAAAAAUUUCUGAAAGCAUUGCUGAGCUGGCAAGUAAGUAAAGAAUCAAAUCUUCUGAGGCCAAAAAUGAACCAUGACUAGGAAUCCAGAGAAAUGAGCUAAUGUUGAGGCUGGCAGCUGCCCUGGAGGCACCUGUUCAACAUUUGUGACCUUGAAUUUCUGUUCUGAUGGCUGCCGAGAAUCAGGAGAUGGGAGACACGAUUCUCAAGGAGGGAAUCCAACAGGAAACCACUGUGUAAAGCUGGGACUUUACACAGCUAUGCCUUGGGUGUAAGGCAAAUAGAAACAAACCUGCCCCACAGAAGGGCACAGCAAAGAAACCUGGCCCUUCAAUCUUGGUUUCAAGUGAAAGAAGAAAUAAAUCUCACCCAAGAAUAUAUAACCAUAAAGCUAGCCCUCGUAUGGGUGUGCCGCAUGUCACAUUACCUCUGUGGUCUAAACUAAGGAUGUAUUUACGAGUGGUCCUGAAUCCUGCGAAUGUACUAAAAACCACCGAAUUGUAUACUUUCAAAGGGUAAACUUUAUGGCAUGUGAAUCAGGGGCCUCCACACCCAGGCCACGGACUGGUAGCGGUCCAUGGGAUAUUAGGAACCAGGCUGCACAGGAGGAGGUGAGCAGUGGGCAGGCGAGCAUUGCCACCUUAGCUCCGCCUCCUGCCAGCUAAGCAGUGGCAUCAGAUUCUCAAAGGAGCAAGAACCUUAUUGUGAACUGUGCAUGUCCGAAAGAUCUAAGUUGCAUGCUCUGUCUGAGAAUCUAACGCCUGAUAUGAUCUGAGGUGGAAGAGUUUCAUCCCAACCCCCAGCCCACCCCACUCCACCCUAUCUGUGGAAAAAUUGUCUUCCAUGAAACCGGUCUCUGGUGCCAAAAAGGUUGGGGACCACUGAUGUAAAUUAUAUCUCCAACACACACACAUCCUGUUAAUAAUGGAGCAGGGGCGGUCCUGAUGGAUAGUGCCUUCAGGUACCUGUACUGUGUAGACACAAAUACAAAUGCUCUCCAGAUAAACAUAUCUUCAAACCAGUUGUUAUCACUUAUUGAUAACAUUCUAAGGAAUAAGAGACCACAGUCAAAAAUCACAAAAUACAUGAGAAAAUGAGGCAUCCAUGAGGAAACAAGACAUCCAUACCUCUUUGUCUGGUAACUCUAGUAUUUGAAGUCUUUGCUUGUUAAACAAUUGCCAACAAAUUAGACAAGCAAAGACUUCAAAUGCUAGAAUUACCAGACAAAGAAGUAUACAAAACUACAUUAGAAAAAAAUGUUUUAAAAAGAGACUAUAAAUAAUAACCCAAAAUAUUUGAAACAAAGCUAGAUGGAAAUUCUAGAAAUAAAAAAGUAGUAAUUGAAAUUUUAAAAACUCAACAGCAGAUUAGAUAUGACCAAAGUGAGAAUUAGAAGAUAAUUAUAAUUCACUAGGCAUGGUGGCUCACACUUAUAAUUCUAGCACUUUGGGAGACCAAGGCAGGAGGAUCACUUGAGCCCAUGAGUUCAAGACCAGCCUGAGCAACAUAGUGAGACCUUGUCUCUACAAAUAAUAAACAAAAUUAGCUGGGUAUGGUGGUGCAUACCCGUGGUCCCAGCUACUUGGAAGGCUGAGGUGGAAGGAUCGCUUGAGCCCGGGAGAUGAAGGUUGCAGUGAGCUGUGAUUGUGCCACUAUACUCCAGCUUGGACAACAAAGUGAGACCAUCUCGAAAGAAAAAAAAAAAGAGUUAGAAAAUAAAUGAUAAUAGAAUGCUCAAAAUGAGAUUUAAAAACAGAAAAAUAUGAAAAAGAGGUUGGCCGGGCGUGGUGGCUCACGCCUGUAAUCCCAGCACUUUGGGAGGCCGAGGUGGGCGGAUCACAAGGUCAGGAGAUCGAGACCAUGGUGAAACCCCGUCUCUACUAAAAAUAGAAAAAAUUAGCCGGGCGCAGGGGCGGGCGCCUGUAGUCCCAGCUACUCGGGAGGCUGAGGCAGGAGAAUGGCGUGAACCCGGGAGGCGGAGCUUGCAGUGAGCCGAGAUUGCACCACUGCACUCCAGCCUGGGCAACAGAGCGAGACUCCGUCUCAAAAAAAAAAAAAAAGAAAAAGAGGUUAAGAGACAAAAAGAAUGAGAAAGUCCAACACACAAUGGAUUGGAGUUUAGGAGGAGAAAACAGAGAAAGUAGAAGUGAAAAUAUUUCUUUAAUUUUUAUUGUUUUAUUUUUUAUUUGAGACAGAGUCUCACUUUGUCACCCAGGCUGGAGUACAUCUCAGCUCAUUGCAACCUCCACCUCCUGGGUUCAAGCAAUUCUCAUGCCCCAGCUUCCUGAGUAGCUGGGAUUACAGGUGUGCCACACACCUGGUUAAUUUUUUUGUAUUUUUAGUAGAGAUGGGGUUUCACCAUGUUGGCCAGGCUGGUCUCAAACUCCUGACCUCAGGUGAUCUGCCCACCUCAGCCUCCCAAAGUGUGGGGCUUAUAGAAGUGGUAAUAUUUCAAAAGGUAAUGGCUGAAAAAUUUCUCAAACUAAUGAGAACUAUAAACCUUCAUUUUAUGGCGGCUUCUUAGGAGACUAAAUUGAAAAAGAAACAUAUACCUCUAUCAUAGUGAAACUGCACAAAAACCACAGGCUAAGACUAGGUCUUAAAAGCAACCAGAGGGGAUAGAAAUGAUAAAUCAUCUAUAGAAGGUGACAAUUACAGCUGAUUUCUCAGCAGUGACAAUGGAAGCCAAAAGACAGUGGAUAAAUAUUUUCAACAUGCUGAGAGAGAAAACUAUAAUCGUACAUUCAGCAAAGCUAUCUUUCAGAAACAUCUUCAGACUAUCAAAUAAAAACACGUUCAGUCAAAAUUAAGCUUUUCAACCAUUCCUACCAAAGGAAAUUAUAACAAAUUUCUUUCAAGCAGAAGAAAAACAAUCCUUAAUGAAAGAUAUCAGAUGCAAGUCAAUGUAAUGAGCAAAGAAAACAACACAUGUGUGAAUAAAUCUAAAGGAACACUGAAUUUAUGAAAUAAUAACAAUAAUUUCUCAUUUGUGAAAUAAAACAAGAUGGAACAAAUCCUGCAUAACAAUAGCUCAUAAGUCUGGCAUGGGAUAAUUAGAAUCAUGUUGCGUAGGAGAAGGUUAACUUUGAGUUCUGUGAAAAACGCAUUUAAAAUAUCUCUCUAAAGAAUAGAAAUAGAGGCCUGGCAUGGUGGCUCACGUCUGUAAUCUCAGCACUUUGGGAGGCUGAGGUGGGAGGAUUACUUGAGGCCAGAAGUUUGAAACCAGCCUGGGCCACAUAGUGAGAUACUGUCUCUAUCAAAUAAAAAAAAUUAACCAGGCAUGGUGGUACAUGCCUGUAGUUGCAGCUACUUGGGAGGCUAGGGUGGGAGGAUCGCUUGAGCCCAGGAGGUCAAGGCUGCAGUGAGCUGUGAUGGUGCCACUGCACUUCAGCCUGGAUGACAGAGCAAGACCCUGUUUCAAAAAAAAAAAAAAAAAAA
ensembl:lncRNA